GAUGAACGCUGGCGGCGUGCCUAAUACAUGCAAGUCGAGCGAACAGACGAGGAGCUUGCUCCUUCGACGUUAGCGGCGGACGGGUGAGUAACACGUAGGUAACCUACCUAUAAGACUGGGAUAACUUCGGGAAACCGGAGCUAAUACCGGAUAAUAUUUCGAACCGCAUGGUUCGAUAGUGAAAGAUGGCUUUGCUAUCACUUAUAGAUGGACCUGCGCCGUAUUAGCUAGUUGGUAAGGUAACGGCUUACCAAGGCAACGAUACGUAGCCGACCUGAGAGGGUGAUCGGCCACACUGGAACUGAGACACGGCCCAACCCCCUACGGGAGGCCGCAGUGGGAAAUCUUCCGCAAGGGGCGAAAGCCUGACGGAGCCACGCCGCGUGAGUGAUGAAGGUCUUCGGAUCUUAAAACCUUUUUAUUAGGGAAGAACAAACGUGUAAGUAACUGUGCCCGUCUGGACGGUACCUAAUCAGAAAGCCCCGGCUAACUACGU
rnacentral:rRNA from 1 species